rnacentral:rRNA from 1 species
UUCGGGCGCCGGCGAGUGGCGAACGGGUGAGUAACACGUGGAGACCUAUCCAUUGGUGGGGGACAACAGCUGGAAACGGCUGCUAAUACCGCAUAAUCCCUACGGGGGAAAGAUUUAUCGCCAUAGGAGGGUUCCGCGUCGGAUUAGCUAGUUGGUGGGGUAACGGCCUACCAAGGCGACGAUCCGUAGCUGGUCUGAGAGGAUGAUCAGCCACACUGGGACUGAGACACGGCCCAGGCUCCUACGGGAGGCAGCAGUGGGGAAUAUUGCGCAAUGGAGGAAACUCUGACGCAGCGACGCCGCGUGGGUGAAGAAGGCCUUAGGGUUGUAAAGCCCCUUCAGUGGGAAAGAUGAUGACGGUACCCACAGAAGAAGCCCCGGCUAACUCCGUGCCAGCAGCCGCGGUAAUACGGAGGGGGCCAGCGUUGUUUGGAAUUACUGGGCGUAAAGGGCGCGUAGGCGGUUGAUCAAG